UCCCUGAUGGUCUAGUGGUCAGGAUUCGGCGCUUUUACCGCCGUGGCCCGGGUUCGAUUCCCGGUCAGGGAA
rnacentral:tRNA from 1 species